rnacentral:rRNA from 1 species
GACGUAGGGUCCGAGCGUUGUCCGGAAUUACUGGGCGUAAAGAGCUCGUAGGUGGUUUGUCGCGUUGUUCGUGAAAACUCACAGCUCAACUGUGGGCGUGCGGGCGAUACGGGCAGACUGGAGUACUGCAGGGGAGACUGGAAUUCCAGGUGUAGCGGUGAAAUGCGUAGAUAUCUGGAGGAACACCGGUGGCGAAGGCGGCGACCUGGGUCGACACUGACGCUGAGGCGCGAAAGCGUGGGGAGCAAACAGG